UACGGGGGGGGCAAGCGUUGUUCGGAAUUACUGGGCGUAAAGGGUUUGUAGGUGGCUUGUUAAGUCAGACGUGAAAUCCCUCAGCUUAACUGGGGAACUGCGUCUGAUACUGGCGAGCUUGAGUGCAGGAGAGGAACGCGGAAUUCCAGGUGUAGUGGUGGAAUGCGUAGAGAUCCGGAGGAACACCAGCGGCGAAGGCGGCAUCCUGGACUGGUCCUGACACUCAUGAGCGAAAGCGUGGGGAGCGAUCCGG
rnacentral:rRNA from 1 species